rnacentral:rRNA from 1 species
CCUACGGGAGGCUGCAGUGGGGAAUAUUGGACAAUGGGGGCAACCCUGAUCCAGCCAUGCCGCGUGUGUGAAGAAGGCCCUCGGGUUGUAAAGCACUUUCAGUGAGGAAGAACGCCUGGUGGUUAAUACCCAUCAGGAAAGACAUCACUCACAGAAGAAGCACUGGCUAACUCCGUGCCAGCAGCCGCGGUAAUACGGAGGGUGCGAGCGUUAAUCGGAAUUACUGGGCGUAAAGCGCGCGUAGGUGGCUUGAUAAGCCGGUUGUGAAAGCCCCGGGCUCAACCUGGGAACGGCAUCCGGAACUGUCAAGCUAGAGUGCAGGAGAGGAAGGUAGAAUUCCCGGUGUAGCGGUGAAAUGCGUAGAGAUCGGGAGGAAUACCAGUGGCGAAGGCGGCCUUCUGGACUGACACUGACACUGAGGUGCGAAAGCGUGGGUAGCAAACAGGAUUAGAUACCCGGGUAGUC